rnacentral:lncRNA from 1 species
AUGAUGUUUUUUGUACAAUCCCUAAGGACCCCCACCCUAAUUUUGUUAGAAUCAAAUAAUGUUGAGUGUGUUCCUCAGCAAUUGACAGCCGAAAUAAAGUUCGGUUCAAAUCAAAUGAUGAUUUGUGUGGGUUCUUUGUGCUUGAUAGAUGUACGUACUGCAUGCAUGAAAUUAAUGCAUUGCCACUUUUCUGUUGUUACCCAAUGCAAAGUGAAUAUAAAACCUCAAUAAAUACUGUCAGAUGUGAACAAAUGAAAGCAGAUCAUGCAUUUUAAGUGUUUAGUAAACCAUGCAAUUUGCUUUAGUGAAAGUAUACUAAACAAUUUUUUAGUGAAAUUUAGAGAUUUAAUUAAGGUAAGCUUAUUCAUUUGGGGAAAAAGGGAGAAGGUUUGAAAGUAUUGUGCAUGAAAAAUUGGGUACAUAAAUUUAAAACUGAUAUAUGUAGUAUUUAUUUUUCCACGUUAACAUCUGAAAUGAAGUCAAUAAACAUGAGACAUUUAAUCUUACUGACAGUAAGAUAAUGAGUUCAACAGACAUUUUGCAAAUGCUUAUAGCAGCAUAAAAAUAUAUAUUCUACACUACAUUUACAUUGUUUAUAUAUUUUGUUAUAUAUCUUUUACGAUAAAUGGCAAUUGCCAGCCUGUGAGCAACUAAUCAAAAAAUAAGAGAUAUAAAUAAAAGGUGACGUCACAUUUUCUGUUUAUUUGUUAAUAUGUAGAUUUGUGCGCCUUUAAUAAGACGAUGUGUAAUCGUCAUGCCUACACCAUUUAAACCCACAAUUCAAAAAUAUUUCGGUAACACUUUACAAUAAGGUUCAUUAGUUAACAUUAGUUAAGUACUUUAGUUAAUAUGAACUAAGAAUGAGCAAUACUUCAACAGUAUUUAUUAAUCUUAGUUCAUAUUAAUUCAAACAUUUACUUAUGCAUUAUUAAAAUCAAAGGUGUGCUUGUUAACAUUUGUUAAUGCACUGUGAAUUAACGAACUAACAGUGAACAACUGCAUUUUCAUUAACUAACAUUAACAAAGAUUAAUAAAUACUGUAAUAAAUGUAUUGUUCAUGUUAGUUAAUACAUUAACUAAUAUCAACUAAUAGAACCUUAUUGUAAAGUUUUACCAAUAUUUCUAUUAUUUGUAGUUU